CCAGAGGACCAGGGUUCAAUCCUAUCUGCCACAAGAGACUCACAGCUGUCUCUGAAUUCAGUCCCAGAUGCCCUCUUCUGGCUCCCACACAGGCAUUGAAUGCAUGUGGUAGAUAAACAUGCAGACAAAACACAUAUACACAUAAAUUAAAUUUAAAAGCAAUAAAUAAGUAAAUAAUAAGGAAGAACUGGGAAUAUUGUCCAGUGGACUAGUCCAUAGGUCCUAGGUUUACUACCCAAGAAAAAAGACAGAUACACAGGUGGAAAGAAAGAGGGAGAAUCAGAGUCUCAUAAAGUUGUGCUUCUCUUUCCUUUAUACAAGGCCACAUCAAAAACUGAUGCCUAUGACAACCAACCUACACAUACAUGGUCAUUGUUUACACGUCACCCAUGAGCAACCCAGACUGACCAAGAUAGUUGUAAAAAAAAAAGUGCAGAAAGUGAGUCUAUAAAUGCCAAAAGAAAGGCCAAUAAGAUGUGUAAUUUAUAUUGAGACUGCAUUACUGCCCCAAGGACCGCAAUAACCAGACAAAAGUCUUUGUGUUGUAUCAGACAAUGAUCAUCUGACAUCUAUCAGCAUUCUCCAAGUUGCCUCUUCCCCUCGGAGUUAUGUAAUAUUCUAAUCAAUAAUUAAUAGCGAGUUAAAUAAAGGACAGGGCAGAAAAUCAAAUGACUUCAAAGCCGUUAGUCAGAGCUGCACCUGGGUAGACACAGGAAGACCUGUGCACCUUUGGCUUCAUUAAAAUCUUGGACAGUUUUCUCAACAGAAGUAUGUAAGCAUGUGCUCAUGUCUGUGACAUUUAGGAGGUUAUGAAUAUUUAAGAAAUAGGAACUGAAAGUCCUUCUGCUUGCUAAUGGAGGCGACACCCACAUCACCAGAGGCUUUUAGAGACAAUCAUCGGGCCUGCCAGCCCAGCAGGAUGCAAUCUGCAAUUACUUUGCUGCAGAUUUGGAAACAGAAUUGAUUUUACCUUAUGUAAUCCUACUGACCCAAGAACUCUAGAAAGCCAUUUUGGAGUGAGUCAACAGAUUUGGGGUCUAUAGAGGAAAUAACUUUGAAGCCCAGAAGUUCAAGUCCUUAGAAUCAUUCUGAAUACCGCUGUGUAUUUUUGUUCUAGUGUGCUUUGGCUAGACCAAGAAGGCUGGUCUCACAAAAAUGCACAAGACAUAUGGCACAGAGCCUCCAAAGGAUCCAUUUGUACUUCUGUCAAAGAAAAACAUCUAUAUCUAUGUAAUCAGUGUUUUCCUACUACAUAUAAGUUUGUAGUCAAGACAAAAUACUGACUUUAAAAUCCCAAAUAAAGGGAACAAUGGGUGUUUUUAUGGGCAUAAGUUGGCAUUUAGAAUAUCUAGAUCACAAUUUCUUCAUUCUGUGGGAGAGCGGAUGUUACCAUGGUGUCACCCAUGAUAGCAUAUCUCAAGCUUGCCAGUGAAUGAAUUCAUACUCUUUUCACUAUUUUUUUUUUACCAAUUAUGGAUUGUAUAUGGUUUAGUUGUGUGACCAGGACCUUACAAGCACUAUGGCCAACCCACCCAGUACUAUGACAUGUUCAGAGAGUGUCCCUGCCAUAUACUUAGAUAUCACUAAAUAGCGGACUGCUUUAAAGGUUUCUAACACUUUCUGAUUCUGUGUUUACCUCAAUGUUAGCCUGUCACAACAGGUCAAGGAAAGUGUCAGUUGUUAGGCAGUAGAUCUAGAAAGUCUGUAAACCUGUCCAUUCCAGGAAGACUUAGAAAUAGAAGGGGAACACAAAACAAGAAGCUAUGAAACAACACAAUCUCUUUCCUUAGCUUCACUCUAGUCCACACUAGGGAUUUCAAAAUAUCCAGGCUCAUAUGAAGAGUUCAAGGGCAUAAGACCAGGGCCCACUAACUGAGUUUCACUCAGAGGAACCUGCAGAACUGUGGACAUGCUGAAACCAUAGUUAGCAUGUACAAGAAGAAUGGAAUGGAGGUAAUGAGUUAAACACACCUGAGCUCAUGUUCUUGGUUCCAUCUCUCUAUGUAUAGCCAAUAAGGCAUCCAGACUUGCUCAUCCAGCCAUCCUGGAAUAUGCUAUGGGAGGCCAGAGAGGCUUCAAUGUUAGGACAAAGGGAUAGCCUUGGUGGGGACUUAGAAACAAGUAUAAAUAGUGCACUUCUCCUGAAAGGUCAGAUGAACCAGAUACAUCCAGCAGUCACCCUACCAGGGAUCAGAAGGCAGCACAGAUCCAGAAUACUCUGUAUGGAUCUCAAAAUGCUCAUCACCACAUCACAAGGACAUAAUGACCCUCCGUACACCCACAUCUGCUGGAAGGUAAGUAAGGAGGGGAGAUGGGACCCAGAAAGCCUAAAGAAUGGAGGACUGAACUCAUCUAUGGUAAAAAUUAAAAUAAGAUGAAAUAGUUUUUAAAAGUCUGGUGGUCGUUUAAUCAGAAAAGAGAUUUUUAAUUGUAGGAAUAUGUAGCAUUGGUAAUAAGUUUCCCUCAACAACCCGGAAAGAUGGGUCCCUGUAAACCUGGAAAGGAUAUUAAGUCUGCUGUAAGAAGUGCAGGUGCAUUUUCCUAGUGUAUUAAAGGAACAUAGGCAUAUUCCUUGUGCACCAGUUUCUUGUUUUUUGUUUUUUGUUUUCUUUUUGUCAUAGCACUAAGGAAGAAGCUAGAACUCAGGAAUCAAGGGAAACAUGGAGGAAUGAUGGAUUUCCCCAAACAGAGCCUUUCCUGGUAUUCUUACUCUGACUUGCUGAUGUUGCCAUCAAAAGAGGUAGAGCUUCACAGCCUGAUGGACCAGCACAUCAAAAGGAGGGCCAGAUCAAACUGAUUAAUGCUCAUGGUCAGCCCUGAUUCGGGUUGCCCUGCAUGAAUUCACAAUGUCGCUGCAGCCUGCUGUUGAUCCCUUUGGUGGAAAGUGGCAAGAACUUUCAAUACCUUCAUUUUCUGCCCAUGGUGCCUGGAGGGAAGAGGCCAAACAUGAGCUGUCAUCUGGAGGCCAGAAGGAAUGGCCCAGCCCCGGUUUAAGGCGGCAGUGCCCUCCACCAACUCACUGCCCUGUAUUGAACUCUAACUCCCAGAUCUGCACGCUCACAGUGUUUUGAAGCCUCCUACAGCUCUGCUCUCUGAGAAGUCAUGCUGACUCAUUGGCUCAAGCUGUGAUGCUCAGCUGUCUGUCCAUCUUGUCUCCUGGAACAGCUCAAUCCAGGGUCUUCCUGAAGUGGUGAUCACUCCAGCUGGCAGGGGUAGAAAAUGGUACCAGUCAGGUCAGAGCUCUGGGAUCCCACAGUCACUGCUGCAGGAUGGAGGAACCUACUCCUGAGCCUGUCUAUGUGGAUGUGGACAAGGGGCUGACCUUGGCUUGCUUCGUUUUCCUCUGCCUCUUCCUCGUAGUCAUGAUCAUCCGCUGUGCCAAAGUCAUCAUGGACCCCUACAGUGCCAUCCCCACGUCAACCUGGGAGGAGCAGCACCUGGAUGACUGAGGCACAGGACAGGUCUCAGUAUCCCCAACAUGCCUUUGUACACUCUGGCCAACAUCCUGCGAGCACUUGGAGACUGGGAGUGGCUAUGAUCACCCAAAACUGGAGAAGGCUCACCUUUGCCUUACUGGCUCUCACAUGACCACCAGAGGGGAAUGCCAUCGUGCAGGAGCCAAGGCAGUCUGGAGGAUCCUGGGGAGAGGAAUGCUGAGCCAUGACUCAGUCGAGUGGAGAUGAUGUUGGGACUCCACUGGGAGACAGCAGGGUGAUAGUUCCCUGCCCAGGCUCCUGGGCACCUUUGAAAACUGAACCAAAACCAGAUACUCUGGUCUACAAAUAGUGGUCAGGAGGAGACUGACCUUCAACUACACAGCAUGGAGAGGUUGCUGAGAGCCCAGUACCCUCUACAGACUAACAGUGAGGGGCAGGAAGGAUGAAGACUUCAGGGGGCUUCUCCUCCAAAUUCUCACAAGGCACACAGCUACUUUCAAACUUUUAUUUUCAAAAGAAAAAAACUCCAUAAAAACACAAACUAAGAUACAGAAGGGAUAUAUUUUUCCUGUUAAAAAUGAGAUGUGCAUUUUAGACACUUGGGAAAAUAUAAAUAAAUAGAAGGGAAGGGAGGCGAAUAGCACUUAAAAAUCCAACCUCCCCAAAGCCAUCAUUUUGAUACAUUUCUUCAAGUCUUUUUUACAGGAUUUUUUUUAGUAAUUCACACCAUAUGCAUGAUGCUGCAUUGAUUUGUAUGAUAGCUUAAAUAUCUUCUGCCUCACAAGAUACCAUGGCUGUUUUUAGUGACUGAGAGUAAACUGGCUAGGCCAUGGCUGAAUAUAGUCCUUUUCUUUAAUCUGUCUAACUUUCUACAAUGUACUCAUGCAAA
rnacentral:sRNA from 1 species